rnacentral:rRNA from 1 species
CAGCGCCACAAGUGGCAAUCAUGUUUAUUGGGCCUAAAGCGUCCGUAGCCGGUUUAGCAAAUCUUUUGUGAAAUCGUCAGGCUUAACUUGACGAAUUGCAGAAGACACUACUAAACUAGGGACUGGGAGGAGUCAGAAGUAUUCUGGGGGGACCGGUAAAAUGGUAUAAUCCCCAGAGGACUACCGAUGGCGAAGGCAUCUGACCAGAACAGAUCCGACGGUGAGGGACGAAAGCCAGGGGAGCAAACCGGAUUAGAUACCCGAGUAGUCC